GACGGAGGAUGCAAGCGUUAUCCGGAAUUAUUGGGCGUAAAGCGUCCGCAGGUGGGUUUACAAGUCUGCUGUCAAAGCGCAGAGCUUAACUCUGUACAGGCGGUGGAAACUGUAAGUCUUGAGUAUGGUAGGGGUAGAGGGAAUUCCCGGUGUAGCGGUGAAAUGCGUAGAUAUCGGGAAGAACACCAGUGGCGAAAGCGCUCUACUGGGCCAUAACUGACACUGAGGGACGAAAGCUAGGGGAGCGAAAGGG
rnacentral:rRNA from 1 species